rnacentral:rRNA from 1 species
AUUGAACGCUGGCGGCAGGCUUAACACAUGCAAGUCGAGCGGGGAAAGGUAGCUUGCUACCUGACCUAGCGGCGGACGGGUGAGUAAUGCUUAGGAAUCUGCCUAUUAGUGGGGGACAACAUUCCGAAAGGAAUGCUAAUACCGCAUACGCCCUACGGGGGAAAGCAGGGGAUCUUCGGACCUUGCGCUAAUAGAUGAGCCUAAGUCAGAUUAGCUAGUUGGUGGGGUAAAGGCCUACCAAGGCGACGAUCUGUAGCGGGUCUGAGAGGAUGGUCCGCCACACUGGGACUGAGACACGGCCCAGACUCCUACGGGAGGCAGCAGUGGGGAAUAUUGGACAAUGGGCGAAAGCCUGAUCCAGCCAUGCCGCGUGUGUGAAGAAGGCCUUUUGGUUGUAAAGCACUUUAAGCGAGGAGGAGGCUACUUGGAUUAAUACUCUAGGAUAGUGGACGUUACUCGCAGAAUAAGCACCGGCUAACUCUGUGCCAGCAGCCGCCGUAA